rnacentral:lncRNA from 1 species
UUUUUUUUCUAUACAAGUUGCUUUAUUUGUCCUCUUGGCUUUAAGAGCAUUUCAAAUUUCCUAAAGAAUUAUAUCACAGUUUAGUAUAAGUUCACAGUCCCAUUUUAUUUAUUUUUUUUUUUUUUUUUAGUUCAGCUCGUUUGUAAGGUUAUACAUUUACGAUUUUCGACAAUCCGCUUUUCUUAUUUCUGUAUCAAUAUGUGUGUGGUUUCAUUAAAUUCAUCACUAACCUGAUUCCAUUCUUCAUCUUUGAAUAAACCUGAUAUAUCACCUUUCCGUAUCUAUAAGAAUUCUUUUGAAUGAUGUGAGACAGUACCAUUUUCUUGUUAUAUUUACGCUCCUCAAUUGUCAGGCCAAGUUUACCGAUUUCUUUAACAAGUGUUUCUGGAUUGUUGUGUUUAAAACUUUUAUUUUGUCACUUUGUCAUGUUUUGUAGUUACAUUCUGCUGGCGUAUUGUUGUUUUUCUUUUUGUCACAAAUGUCGGAUUUCCUUACAUGUUUGUCGUAAAUGUGUUCUUCUCAAUGCGGUUCCUUUACACUGUAAGUGCAAACUUUCAAUAUCUCUCACUUGUUGCCCAAUUCUUAGAGUUCAUUGUAACACAAAUAUUUUUAUUUCUACGCCCUUUUUCCCCUUUUUCAUGCUUGAUAUUUUAACAGUUACUUUAUAAUGUAAAGAGGUAAUUAUAUAUUAUCAUUUUUUCUUUGAAUACUUUGAAUAUUUUCUAGUCUAUGAAUAAAAAGAUUUAAAAGGUUCUUUUUAAAUAGCAUGAACGAUGUGUUGGUUUAAGAACAUGUCUAUUGGAAUAACGUUUGUGGUGUGUCUUGAACUGUGUGUUGGUUUAAGAACAUGUCUAUUGGAAUAACGUCUGUGGUGAACUGUGUGUUGGUUUGAGGUCUAUUGGAAUAACGUUUGUGGUGUUGGUUUAAGAACAUGUCUACUGGAAUAACGUUAGUGGUGUAUCUUGAACUGUGUGUUGGUUUAAGAACAUGUCUAUUGGAAUAACGUUUGUGGUGUAUCUUGAACUGUGUGUUGGUAACAUGUCCAUUAGAAUAACGUUUGUGAGUGCAUCUUGAACUGUGUGUUGGUUUAAGGUCUAUUGGAAUAACGUUUGUGGUGUUGGUUUAAGAACAUGUCUAUUGGAAUAACGUCUGUGGUGAACUGUGUGUUGGUUUUAAAAGGUCUAUUGGAUUAACGUUUGUGGUGUAUCGUCGAUUGUGUAAGUCAUUGUUAUUGGUUGAUUUAUCUUUUUAUGUUACUUUUAUUUAGAUCAUUUAAUAUAGUUCCAUAUCUUGAUACUUUUAACUUAAAAUUAUCAAAUAACGAAAUGCAGCACGAGUGUAGAUG